rnacentral:tRNA from 1 species
GGUUCCAUGGGGUAAUGGUUAGCACUCUCGACUUCGAAUCCAGCGACCCGAGUUCAAAUCUCGGUGGAACAU